GUCUACGGCCAUACCACCCUGAAAAUGGCGCUGGGUCACCUCUGAUCUCAGAAGCUAAGCAGGGCCAGGCGGUUAGUGCCUGGAUG
rnacentral:rRNA from 1 species